rnacentral:lncRNA from 1 species
GCUUACACAGACUGUUCUUAUUUUAAGUCACACUUUUACUUAUACAAAGUUUCUUUCAAUUGUGUUUCUGACAAGCAACAGCGGCAACAAGUGCGGCACCUUUACCAGAACCAUCUUCCGAGAGCAUCAGUUUUAUAUGUUUCCCUGGAAGUAGUUCUCCUAGUGUGCUCUCCAUGUACGUUUUGAACUUGGGAUGUUUCUUAAACAGAGAACCAUCGACAGCAAUCGUGCAAUGA